rnacentral:lncRNA from 1 species
UCUGUCUGUGUUACUGUGCCCGGUCUUGCUGUCUGUUGUUACCCUAGUGCCUGGUCGUGCUUUGUCUGUCUGUUACCUAGUGCCCUGGUCGUGCUCUGUCUGUCUGUUACCUAGUGCCCUGGUCGUGACCUGUCUGUCUGUUACCUAGUGCCCUGGUCGUGCUCUGU